GAUGAACGCUGGCGGCGUGCCUAAUACAUGCAAGUCGAGCGAAUGGAUUAAGAGCUUGCUCUUAUGAAGUUAGCGGCGGACGGGUGAGUAACACGUGGGUAACCUGCCCAUAAGACUGGGAUAACUCCGGGAAACCGGGGCUAAUACCGGAUAACGUUUUGAACCGCCUGGUUCGAAAUUGAAAGGCGGCUUCGGCUGUCACUUAUGGAUGGACCCGCGUCGCAUUAGCUAGUUGGUGAGGUAACGGCUCACCAAGGCAACGAUGCGUAGCCGACCUGAGAGGGUGAUCGGCCACACUGGGACUGAGACACGGCCCAGACUCCUACGGGAGGCAGCAGUAGGGAAUCUUCCGCAAUGGACGAAAGUCUGACGGAGCAACGCCGCGUGAGUGAUGAGGGCUUUCGGGUCGUAAAACUCUGUUGUUAGGGAAGAACAAGUGCUAGUUGAAUAAGCUGGCACUUUGACGGUACCUAACCAGAAAGCCACGGCUAACUACGUGCCAGCAGCCGCCGUAA
rnacentral:rRNA from 1 species